CAUGUACUCCCUCCGAUCCUUAUUAAUUGUCUCAAAUUUGUCUAAAUAUGGAUGUAUCUAUGCCAAAAAAGUGUCUAGAUACAUGUAAUAUUUCGACAAUUAAUAUGGAUCGGAGGGAAUAGUAG
rfam:Brachypodium distachyon strain Bd21 chromosome 2, whole genome shotgun sequence.